CAGGUACAUUGCACAAAUGCACAAAGUAGUUCACAGCGUCGAAAUUUUGAACAAUGCAGGUAAACGCUAAUGGACUGGAGCUGAUGUGCUGAGCGUAUGUAGAUCGUAAUGUGUAUUGAGGAAUCCUGGACAAAUUUGGGCACCAUUA